rnacentral:sRNA from 1 species
AGUUGACGCUCUGGGCCGCCACCUCCGCGGACCCUGAGCGCAAGAGCCAAGCCGCCACCGCCGCGAUGUGGGCCACGCUGCCGCUGCUCUGCGCCGGGGCCUGGCUCCUGGGAGUCCCCGUCUGCGGUGCCGCCGAACUGUCCGUGAACUCCUUAGAGAAGUUUCACUUCAAGUCAUGGAUGUCUAAGCACCGUAAGACCUACAGCACGGAGGAGUACCACCACAGGCUGCAGACGUUUGCCAGCAACUGGAGGAAGAUAAACGCCCACAACAAUGGGAACCACACAUUUAAAAUGGCACUGAACCAAUUUUCAGACAUGAGCUUUGCUGAAAUAAAACACAAGUAUCUCUGGUCAGAGCCUCAGAAUUGCUCAGCCACCAAAAGUAACUACCUUCGAGGUACUGGUCCCUACCCACCUUCCGUGGACUGGCGGAAAAAAGGAAAUUUUGUCUCACCUGUGAAAAAUCAGGGUGCCUGCGGCAGUUGCUGGACUUUCUCCACCACCGGGGCCCUGGAGUCUGCGAUCGCCAUCGCAACCGGGAAGAUGCUGUCCUUGCAGCCUCAGUUGUCUUCAUGAGGGAAGAGCCGGGAC